GGGCCCGUCGCCUAGCCAGGAUAGGGCGCCAGCCUCCUAAGCUGGUUGUCGGGGGUUCGAAUCCCUCCGGGCCCG
rnacentral:tRNA from 1 species